GAUGAACGCUGGCGGCGUGCCUAAUACAUGCAAGUCGAGCGAACAGACGAGGAGCUUGCUCCUCUGACGUUAGCGGCGGACGGGUGAGUAACACGUGGAUAACCUACCUAUAAGACUGGGAUAACUUCGGGAAACCGGAGCUAAUACCGGAUAAUAUAUUGAACCGCAUGGUUCAAUAGUGAAAGACGGUUUUGCUGUCACUUAUAGAUGGAUCCGCGCCGCAUUAGCUAGUUGGUAAGGUAACGGCUUACCAAGGCAACGAUGCGUAGCCGACCUGAGAGGGUGAUCGGCCACACUGGAACUGAGACACGGUCCAGACUCCUACGGGAGGCAGCAGUAGGGAAUCUUCCGCAAUGGGCGAAAGCCUGACGGAGCAACGCCGCGUGAGUGAUGAAGGUCUUCGGAUCGUAAAACUCUGUUAUUAGGGAAGAACAAAUGUGUAAGUAACUAAGCACGUCUUGACGGUACCUAAUCAGAAAGCCACGGCUAACUACGUG
rnacentral:rRNA from 1 species